CACGUAGGGCGCAAGCGUUGUCCGGGAAUUAUUGGGCGUAAAGAGCUCGUAGGCGGUCUGUUGCGUCCGCUGUGAAAACCCGGGGCUUAACCCUGGGCUGGCAGUGGAUACGGACAGACUAGAGGUAGGUAGGGGAGAAUGGAAUUCCCGGUUGUAGCGGUGAAAUGCGCAGAUAUCGGGAGGAACACCGGUGGCGAAGGCGGUUCUCUGGGCCUUACCUGACGCUGAGGAGCGAAACGUGGGGAGCGAACAG
rnacentral:rRNA from 1 species